UCUCAGCCAAUUGCUAGAACUUGGAAGUAGUAGUCGGAAAACAUGCAUGGACCCUGUGCCUUCAUGUGGAAAAGUGUGCGGCAAGCCUCUGCCUUGUGGUUCCUUAGAUUUCAUUCAUACCUGUGAAAAGCUCUGCCAUGAAGGAGACUGUGGACCAUGCUCUCGCACAUCAGUUAUUUCCUGCAGAUGCUCUUUCAGAACAAAGGAGCUUCCAUGUACCAGUCUCAAAAGUGAAGGUAUGACUGGGGUGGGGCAUGAGGGAAUUUUUGGGGUGAAAGUGUCGUCACUCUGCAUCUUGUUAGGGAGUUGGGUUAUGUAUUUGCAAAAUUCAGUGAAGGCAUACUUAAGAUUUGUGGUAUAACUUUCACCUCAAAAGGAAAAAAAUAUAAA
rnacentral:sRNA from 1 species